CUGGAAGAUUUGUAUAUAGAAAAUAGCGAUGACAAUCGAAUGAGCCGCGAGCGUUAACGAGGGCUGCUUCCAUCCCACAGUCAAUUAUAAAACGUAUAAUCUUAACAUCUAUUGUUAUUGAUUUUGUUUAGAGGAUUAUUGUGCCCAGAUCAGAUGCCGAAAGACAUCAACAGCAGGAGAGGAGUGAAAGAAAGGAGAUAAAAGAAGGAUAUGAUGGUGGGGAAGACAAUCAACAACGUUAAACGAUGCUAUGAAGAAGAAGAAUACUGUUUUGCUGAUGGCGGAGCUAAGAGAAGGAAAUCUGGUGACGAGAGAGCUCCCUACGCUCUCGGGCAAAAAGAUACUGUCUAUCGUUACUUGUGUCCCGGGGAAAAAAAUAGGAAGAAUCAUUGGAAGAGGUGGUGAGAAUGUACGGAAGUUGAUGGCUUCUAGUGAAGCAAGGAUUGUAAUUGGCAAAAGCAUGCCGGGUUCUGAAGAGCAACUGGUAACAAUUUUUAGCUCAAGCAAUGAAUUGGAUGCCUUUGGAGAUAGGUUAGUAUGUCUGCCCUACCCCAGAUGCACUCUUUCUGGUGCAUGAGAAGCUUCUUGCAAGUGAGGCCCCAGGUGAUGAAGAUCUUAAGGUUGCUUCCCCAAAGGCAGCGGUUUCUGUUCGUUUACUUGUCUCAUCUGAUCAAGUUGGACAUGUAAUUGGAAAAGGUGGUCAAACUAUUCACAACAUACGGAAUGACAGUCAGGCUCUCAUUCAAAUUUUGAAGAGCGGACAUCUUCCCCUUUUUGCUAAUAGCAGCGAUGAACUUAUCCAGAGUUGCAUCUGAUCCUAACGUGUGAUUUUUAGAAUGCUGAAGGUGUCUAUAUGACAUUCCUUGUUCCUUUAGACUUACCAUUUCCAGAGUUGAAGUCUUAACUUGUUGAUGAGCUUCAUUUUACAGUUUUAGCUUUAAGGCAUCUUAAGCGAAUAAUUUAAUGCAUACUUGCAUUAGUGUACAAGAACAUAUUGUUUUGAAUCUAUGUUGAGUUACUUGGUUAUGUUGCAUACAAGAACUGCAUGGGCUUGCUAGUUCUGCAUAAUCCUUUGUUCAUUGUUCUCUCUCCUUUACCAUCUUUUACAAUUGCUACUGAUCAUAUGUUGUU